UCGGGAAUAUUGGACAAUGGGGGCAACCCUGAUCCAGCAACUCCGCGUGAGGGAUGAAGGCCCUCGGGUCGUAAACCUCUGUCAGAAGGGAAGAAAACUGCAGGUCAAACAGGCCUGUAGCUUGACGGUACCUUCAAAGGAAGCACCGGCUAACUCCGUGCCAGCAGCCGCGGUAAUACGGAGGGUGCAAGCGUUGUUCGGAAUUAUUGGGCGUAAAGCGGGUGUAGGCGGCUUUGCAAGUCAAGUGUGAAAUCCCAGAGCCCAACCCUGGAACUGCACUCGAUACUGCAUCGCUAGAGUCCCGGAGAGGAUGGCGGAAUUCCAGGUGUAGAGGUGAAAUUCGUAGAUAUCUGGAGGAACACCAGUGGCGAAGGCGGCCAUCUGGACGGUGACUGACGCUCAGACCCGAAAGCGUGGGGAGCGAAACAGGAUUAGAUACCCUGGUAGUCCACGCCGUAAACGUUGGGUGCUCGUCGUAGCGGGUA
rnacentral:rRNA from 1 species